CGCGUAGGCGGCCGCGUGCGUCAGAGGUGAAAUCCCCCGGCUUAACCGGGGACCUGCCUCUGAUACGGCGCGGCUUGAGUCCGGGAGAGGGGAGCAGAAUUCCCAGUGUAGCGGUGAAAUGCGUAGAUAUUGGGAGGAAUACCGGUGGCGAAGGCGGCUCCCUGGACCGGUACUGACGCUGAGGCGCGAAAGCGUGGGUAGCAAACAGGAUUAGAUACCCUGGUAGUCCACGCCGUAAACGAUGGGUGCUUGGUGUCGGGGGUAUCGACCCCUCCGGUGCCGAAGCUAACGCAUUAAGCACCCCGCCUGGGGAGUACGGUCGCAAGGCUGAA
rnacentral:rRNA from 1 species